rnacentral:rRNA from 1 species
CCUACGGGGGGCAGCAGUGGGGAAUAUUGGACAAUGGGCGAAAGCCUGAUCCAGCCAUGCCGCGUGUGUGAAGAAGGCCUUCGGGUUGUAAAGCACUUUCAGUGGGGAAGAAAGCCUUGGGGCUAAUACCCUCGAGGAAGGACAUCACCCACAGAAGAAGCACCGGCUAACUCCGUGCCAGCAGCCGCGGUAAUACGGAGGGUGCGAGCGUUAAUCGGAAUUACUGGGCGUAAAGCGCGCGUAGGCGGUCUGAUAAGCCGGUUGUGAAAGCCCCGGGCUCAACCUGGGAACGGCAUCCGGAACUGUCAGGCUAGAGUGCAGGAGAGGAAGGUAGAAUUCCCGGUGUAGCGGUGAAAUGCGUAGAGAUCGGGAGGAAUACCAGUGGCGAAGGCGGGCUUCUGGACUGACACUGACGCUGAGGUGCGAAAGCGUGGGUAGCAAACAGGAUUAGAUACCCGAGUAGUC